rnacentral:rRNA from 1 species
GACGAACGCUGGCGGCGCGCCUAACACAUGCAAGUCGAGCGGAGAUAUCUAAAGGAAGUUUUCGGAUGGAAUUUGAGUAUUUUAGCGGCGGACGGGUGAGUAACGCGUGAGUGACCUGCCUUCCACAGGGGGAUAACGUACCGAAAGGUACACUAAUACCGCAUGAGACCACAGCACUGCCUGGUACAGGGGUCAAAGGAGCAAUCCGGUGGAAGAUGGACUCGCGUCCGAUUAGAAAGUUGGUGGGGUAACGGCCUACCAAGUCAGCGAUCGGUAGCCGACCUGAGAGGGGGAUCGGCAACAUUGGAACGGGGAGACGGUCCAAACUCCGACGGGAGGCAGCAGUGGGGAAUAGUGGGCAAUGGGGGAAACCCUGACCCUGCGACGCCGCGUGAGGGAAGAAGGUUUUCGGAUUGUAAACCUCUGUUCUUGGUGAAGAGGGAAAGACGGUAGCCAAGGAGGAAGCCCCGGCUAACUACGUGCCAGCCGCCGCAGUAA